AAACCAACAGGGAUUGCCUCAGUAACGGCGAGUGAAGCGGCAACAGCUCAAAUUUGAAAUCUGGCCCUAGGCCCGAGUUGUAAUUUGCAGAGGAUGCUUUUGGUGAGGUGCCUUCCAAGUUCCCUAGAACGGGACGCCAGAGAGGGUGAGAGCCCCGUACAGUUGGACACCAAGCCUUUGUAAAGCUCCUUCGACGAGUCGAGUAGUUUAGGAAUGCUGCUCAAAAUGGGAGGUAUAUUUCUUCUAAAGCUAAAUACCGGCCAGAGACCGAUAGCGCACAAGUAGAGUGAUCGAAAGAUGAAAAGCACUUUGAAAAGAGGGUUAAACAGCACGUGAAAUUGUUAAAAGGGAAGCGCUUGUGACCAGACUUGCGUCCGGUGAAUCACCCAGCUCUCGCGGCUGGGGCACUUCGCCGGCUCAGGCCAGCAUCAGCUCGCUGUCGGGGACAAAAGCUUCAGGAACGUAGCUCUCUUCGGGGAGUGUUAUAGCCUGUUGCAUAAUACCCUUCGGCGGGCUGAGGUACGCGCUCCGCAAGGAUGCUGGCAUAAUGGUCAUCAGCGAC
rnacentral:rRNA from 1 species